AUUGAACGCUGGCGGCAUGCCUUACACAUGCAAGUCGAACGGCAGCACGGACUUCGGUCUGGUGGCGAGUGGCGAACGGGUGAGUAAUACAUCGGAACGUGCCUAGUAGUGGGGGAUAAUCCGAAGAAAUUUGGUCUAAUACCCCAUAAUAUUCCGACAGGCAUCUGUCGGAGUUGAAAGCUUCGGUGGUUGGAGAUGGGCAUGCGUUGUAUUAGCUGGAUGGUGAGGUAACGGCUCACCAUGGCGAUGAUACAUAGGGGGACUGAGAGGUUUUCCCCCCACACUGGUACUGAGACACGGACCAG
rnacentral:rRNA from 1 species